ACACCAGUAGUAUAUACCGUACAAUUGCCUUCCAAGCAGAAAGUCCCAAUGGGCUAGUGUA
rnacentral:tRNA from 1 species